rnacentral:pre_miRNA from 1 species
UUGACUAUGGAUUUUGUUAAAAUGCAGAUUCUGAUUCAGUAGGCUGGAUGCAGGGUCUGAGAUUCUGCAUUUCUAACAAACUCCCAGGUCAUGCAUA